rnacentral:misc_RNA from 1 species
GUAGGUGAACCUGCGGAAGGAUCAUUAGCACUUUUUUUGGGUGGUUUUGGUGGAGGUGAGGCGGUCUUCGGGCUGCGCCCUCGGUCAAAGCUGCCUGAAUAUCCAACCCCUGUGAGCAUGUUGUUGAUUUUGUUGUUGGGCUGUCUUGUUUGUGCUGUCAUCGUAUGUGACGGCAUAAGCGGAUAGAUCCCUUUUUUCACUUUUUAAACCCCAACCACCUUUACAAAAAAACAACUAAUCAAAGACUGAA